rnacentral:rRNA from 1 species
UGUGAACUCGAAGAGUAGGGCGGGACACGUGGUAUCCUGUCUGAAUAUGGGGGGACCAUCCUCCAAGGCUAAAUACUCCUGACUGACCGAUAGUGAACCAGUACCGUGAGGGAAAGGCGAAAAGAACCCCGGCGAGGGGAGUGAAAAAGAACCUGAAACCGUGUACGUACAAGCAGUGGGAGCCUCUUUAUGGGGUGACUGCGUACCUUUUGUAUAAUGGGUCAGCGACUUAUAUUCUGUAGCAAGGUUAACCGUAUAGGGGAGCCGAAGGGAAACCGAGUCUUAACUGGGCGUUAAGUUGCAGGGUAUAGACCCGAAACCCGGUGAUCUAGCCAUGGGCAGGUUGAAGGUUGGGUAACACUAACUGGAGGACCGAACCGACUAAUGUUGAAAAAUUAGCGGAUGACCUGUGGCUGGGGGUGAAAGGCCAAUCAAACCGGGAGAUAGCUGGUUCUCCCCGAAAGCUAUUUAGGUAGCGCCUCGUGAACUCAUCUUCGGGGGUAGAGCACUGUUUCGGCUAGGGGGCCAUCCCGGCUUACCAACCCGAUGCAAACUACGAAUACCGAAGAAUGUUAUCACGGGAGACACACGGCGGGUGCUAACGUCCGUCGUGAAGAGGGAAACAACCCAGACCGCCAGCUAAGGUCCCAAAGUCAUGGUUAAGUGGGAAACGAUGUGGGAAGGCACAGACAGCCAGGAUGUUGGCUUAGAAGCAGCCAUCAUUUAAAGAAAGCGUAAUAGCUCACUGGUCGAGUCGGCCUGCGCGGAAGAUGUAACGGGGCUAAACCAUGCACCGAAGCUGCGGCAGCGACACUAUGUGUUGUUGGGUAGGGGAGCGUUCUGUAAGCCGUUGAAGGUGUGCUGUGAGGCAUGCUGGAGGUAUCAGAAGUGCGAAUGCUGACAUAAGUAACGAUAAAGCGGGUGAAAAGCCCGCUCGCCGGAAGACCAAGGGUUCCUGUCCAACGUUAAUCGGGGCAGGGUGAGUCGACCCCUAAGGCGAGGCCGAAAGGCGUAGUCGAUGGGAAACAGGUUAAUAUUCCUGUACUUGGUGUUACUGCGAAGGGGGGACGGAGAAGGCUAUGUCAGCCGGGCGACGGUUGUCCCGGUUUAAGCAUGUAGGCGGAGGUUCCAGGUAAAUCCGGUACCUUUUAACGCUGAGGUGUGAUGACGAGGCACUACGGUGCUGAAGUGAUAAAUGCCCUGCUUCCAGGAAAAGCCUCUAAGCAUCAGGUAACACGAAAUCGUACCCCAAACCGACACAGGUGGUCAGGUAGAGAAUACCAAGGCGCUUGAGAGAACUCGGGUGAAGGAACUAGGCAAAAUGGUGCCGUAACUUCGGGAGAAGGCACGCUGAUAUGUAGGUGAAGCCCCUGCGGGCGGAGCUGAAAUCAGUCGAAGAUACCAGCUGGCUGCAACUGUUUAUUAAAAACACAGCACUGUGCAAACACGAAAGUGGACGUAUACGGUGUGACGCCUGCCCGGUGCCGGAAGGUUAAUUGAUGGGGUUAGCGGCAACGCGAAGCUCUUGAUCGAAGCCCCGGUAAACGGCGGCCGUAACUAUAACGGUCCUAAGGUAGCGAAAUUCCUUGUCGGGUAAGUUCCGACCUGCACGAAUGGCGUAAUGAUGGCCAGGCUGUCUCCACCCGAGACUCAGUGAAAUUGAACUCGCUGUGAAGAUGCAGUGUACCCGCGGCAAGACGGAAAGACCCCGUGAACCUUUACUAUAGCUUGACACUGAACACUGGUCCUUGAUGUGUAGGAUAGGUGGGAGGCUUUGAAGCGUGGACGCCAGUCUGCGUGGAGCCAUCCUUGAAAUACCACCCUUUAAUGGCUGGUGUUCUAACGUAGACCCGUGAUCCGGGUUGCGGACAGUGUCUGGUGGGUAGUUUGACUGGGGCGGUCUCCUCCCAAAGAGUAACGGAGGAGCACGAAGGUUGGCUAAUCCUGGUCGGACAUCAGGAGGUUAGUGCAAUGGCAUAAGCCAGCUUGACUGCGAGCGUGACGGCGCGAGCAGGUGCGAAAGCAGGUCAUAGUGAUCCGGUGGUUCUGAAUGGAAGGGCCAUCGCUCAACGGAUAAAAGGUACUCCGGGGAUAACAGGCUGAUACCGCCCAAGAGUUCAUAUCGACGGCGGUGUUUGGCACCUCGAUGUCGGCUCAUCACAUCCUGGGGCUGAAGUAGGUCCCAAGGGUAUGGCUGUUCGCCAUUUAAAGUGGUACGCGAGCUGGGUUUAGAACGUCGUGAGACAGUUCGGUCCCUAUCUGCCGUGGGCGCUGGAGAAUUGAGGGGGGCUGCUCCUAGUACGAGAGGACCGGAGUGGACGCAUCACUGGUGUUCGGGUUGUCAUGCCAAUGGCACUGCCCGGUAGCUAAAUGCGGAAGAGAUAAGUGCUGAAAGCAUCUAAGCACGAAACUUGCCCCGAGAUGAGUUCUCCCUGAGACUUUAAGUCUCCUGAAGGAACGUUGAAGACGACGACGUUGAUAGGUCGGGUGUGUAAGCGCAGCGAUGCGUUGAGCUAACCGAUACUAAUGAACCGUGAGGCUUAACCUU